rnacentral:lncRNA from 1 species
ACGCCACCCCAUGCAGGUGGGGGACAAGGGGGUGCAGAAGCAGAAGUUGCUGCAAACUCUGAGCUUUUGUACCCCAACAGAAAAGAAGAAAAUGUCCAUUUCCAACUCAGCUAUCCAACAUCUGCUGACUCCAUGCUUUAUACAUCUGCCAAAUUAAUCUUCCUAAAUAGAACUUGCAUUGUGUCAGUCUGUAUUGGAAUACUCCCAAGUCACUGCAAUGUCCAUAAUAAAACAAAAUUCAAGAUCUGCCGCAAGAUUGGAGUGCAGUGGUGUGAUCAUAGCUCACUACAGCUUUGAACUCCUUGGCUCAACUGACCCUCCCACCUCACCCUUCCUAGCAGCUUGGACUACAGGUGAAAUCCGAUGAAAACAAACUCUGCUUGCUUCAUACGGAAGUGGAAUCACAAAAGGAAAACAGGUAACCUGAAGCCUGUGUGUAGGAGAAAGGAACGCAGCUUCCUUAUUUAGUUAUUUCAUUUGAGAAUUGUAUGUGGUAUAUGUAUGAAGAGUUUGGGAAGGGGGAUAAACUGUAGGUGUGUAAGUGCAUCUCUGAU